UUUCCGUAGGUGAACCUGCGGAAGGAUCAUUAUUGGAUUUUGAAACUUCAGGCUGCUGCUGGCUCUCCUCGGAGGGCAUGUGCACGCUUGUUGUCCAUUAUUUCUCCCACUGAGCACAAAUUGUAGACCUUUCAGUAGGCCUAUGUUGUUUUUCACAAUCUCUGAAUGUAAUAGAAUGGUUUUGAAUCUUGGGAAAUACAAUACAACUUUCAGCAACGGAUCUCUUGGCUCUC
rnacentral:misc_RNA from 1 species